rnacentral:rRNA from 1 species
AACGUAGGUGGCAAGCGUUAUCCGGAUUUACUGGGCGUAAAGGCAUGUGCAGACGGGUUGGUAAGUGGUGUAUGAAAGCGUCCGGCUUAACCGGCAAGCGUAGGCCAGACUGCCAGUCUUGAGAGUGGGAGAGGGAUGUGGAAUUCCGGGUGUAGUGGUGAAAUGCGUAGAGAUCCGGAGGAACACCGGUGGCGAAGGCGGCCUGACUGGGCAGUAGCUGACGCUGAGGCGCGACA